rnacentral:rRNA from 1 species
UUGAACGCUGGCGGCAUGCCUUACACAUGCAAGUCGAACGGUAACAGGGAGCUUGCUCCGCUGACGAGUGGCGAACGGGUGAGUAAUGUAUCGGAACGUACCAUUCAGUGGGGGAUAACGUAGCGAAAGUUACGCUAAUACCGCAUAUUCUGUGAGCAGGAAAGCAGGGGAUCGCAAGACCUUGCGCUGAUUGAGCGGCCGAUAUCAGAUUAGCUAGUUGGUGAGGUAAAAGCUCACCAAGGCGACGAUCUGUAGCGGGUCUGAGAGGAUGAUCCGCCACACUGGAACUGAGACACGGUCCAGACUCCUACGGGAGGCAGCAGUGGGGAAUUUUGGACAAUGGGGGCAACCCUGAUCCAGCCAUUCCGCGUGAGUGAAGAAGGCCUUCGGGUUGUAAAGCUCUUUCGGCAGGAACGAAACGGUGCGGGCCAAUACCCCGCAUCAAUGACGGUACCUGAAGAAGAAGCACCGGCUAACUACGU